CCGAACUGUCAACACGAGUUGUUGCUGGUCCUCAAAUGGGGGCAUGUGCACGCUCUGUUCACACAUCCACUCACACCUGUGCACCCUCUGUAGUUCUGUGGCUUGGGGGACUCUGUCCUCCUGCGGCGGUUCUGCUUCUUUACACACACUCUGUAAUAAAGUCUCAUGGAAUGUAUGCCGCGUUUAACGCAAUAUAAUA
rnacentral:misc_RNA from 2 species